CAGCAGCCGCGGUAAAACGAACCGUGCGAACGUUAUUCGGAAUUACUGGGCUUAAAGCGCGUGUAGGCGGGUCGGCACGUCGGUCGCUGAAAUCCCCCGGCUCAACCGGGGAAGUGGCGCCGAUACGGCCGGCCUGGAGGGGGGUAGGGGGGUUUGGAACUUCCGGUGGAGCGGUGAAAUGCGUUGAGAUCGGAAGGAACGCCCGUGGCGAAAGCGAGACCCUGGACCCUUACUGACGCUGAGACGCGAAAGCCAGGGGAGCGAACGGGAUUAGAUACCCGCGUAGUCCCUGUCUCUUAUA
rnacentral:rRNA from 1 species